rnacentral:rRNA from 1 species
AUGAACGCUAGCUACAGGCUUAACACAUGCAAGUCGAGGGGAAACGACAUCGAAAGCUUGCUUUUGAUGGGCGUCGACCGGCGCACGGGUGAGUAACGCGUAUCCAACCUGCCCAUCACUUGGGAAUAACCUUGCGAAAGUAAGACUAAUACCCAAUGAUAUCCCACGAAGGCAUCGGAAUGGGAUUAAAGAUUUAUCGGUGAUGGAUGGGGAUGCGUCUGAUUAGCUUGUUGGCGGGGUAACGGCCCACCAAGGCAACGAUCAGUAGGGGUUCUGAGAGGAAGGUCCCCCACAUUGGAACUGAGACACGGUCCAAACUCCUACGGGAGGCAGCAGUGAGGAAUAUUGGUCAAUGGGCGAGAGCCUGAACCAGCCAAGUAGCGUGCAGGAAGACGGCCCUAUGGGUUGUAAACUGCUUUUAUAAGGGAAUAAAGUGGGUCACGUGUGACUUUUUGCAUGUACCUUAUGAAUAAGGACCGGCUAAUUCCGU